GCAUACGAACAGUAACGUCUCUAAUACAAAACUAUCAAACUUAUAUGAACACCACGAUAUGAUUUUGUCAUUAUGCAAGAGUUGGAAACCUCCCUGAAUCCCCUCAAAAUGCAACUUUAUUUGUUUGCCAAGAAUUGAGAAGAGAUAAUUUCCAACUGGGAGAACUUUUCAGUUAUAUUAUUUGCCUUCAGACAAAUAUACAUUGCUUUAGUGAUAUUUUAAAUUUCGUCUCGAAACUAUUUUCAAAACGAUAUACUCCAUAAUGUAUAAGUAUAGCCUGAGUCAAGUGCAACUACUUCCUUUCAUUUGUUUUUAAAUAGUUUGAAAUA
rnacentral:lncRNA from 1 species